rnacentral:rRNA from 1 species
UGGGGAAUAUUGCACAAUGGGCGCAAGCCUGAUGCAGCCAUGCCGCGUGUAUGAAGAAGGCCUUCGGGUUGUAAAGUACUUUCAGCGGGGAGGAAGGGAGUAAAGUUAAUACCUUUGCUCAUUGACGUUACCCGCAGAAGAAGCACCGGCUAACUCCGUGCCAGCAGCCGCGGUAAUACGGAGGGUGCAAGCGUUAAUCGGAAUUACUGGGCGUAAAGCGCACGCAGGCGGUUUGUUAAGUCAGAUGUGAAAUCCCCGGGCUCAACCUGGGAAAUGCAUCUGAUACUGGCAAGCUUGAGUCUCGUAGAGGGGGGUAGAAUGCCAGGUGUAGCGGUGAAAUGCGUAGAGAUCUGGAGGAAGACCGGUGGCGAAGGCGGCCCCCUGGACGAAGACUGACGCGCAGGUGCGAAAGCGUGGGGAGCAAACAGG